UACAUAGGGAGCAAGCGUUAUCCGGAAUUAUUGGGUGUAAAGGGUGCGUAGACGGGAAAUUAAGUUAGUUGUGAAAUCCCUUGGCUUAACUGAGGAACUGCAACUAAAACUGGUUUUCUUGAGUAUUGGAGAGGAAAGUGGAAUUCCUAGUGUAGCGGUGAAAUGCGUAGAUAUUAGGAGGAACACCAGUGGCGAAGGCGACUUUCUGGACAAUAACUGACGUUGAGGCACGAAAGUGUGGGGAGCAA
rnacentral:rRNA from 1 species